GCUGUGAUCGUAUAGUGGUUAGUACUUCACGCUGUGGCCGUGACAACCCAGGUUCGAAUCCUGGUCACAGCA
rfam:Ciona savignyi cont_28164, whole genome shotgun sequence.